AGUGUAGGGAUUGUUUUACAUUUAUUACAUUGUGAUAAUAUCUAUUCUUGCUUUUCAGCCUAAUUAAAUGCAGCCUCAUGUGCAGAAGGCAAAUAAGUCAGUUGUAAGAAAAGAUGAAAUGAGAAGUUGGCCCAAGAGCACACAAAGGCAUCAGCAAGUGUGAAUAUACUGCCCAGAAUGGCUCCCAUGAAAGUCAAGAAAUGGUCUCCAGGCACUAGUGCCCUGAUGCCUCACCAAAAGCUACUGAUUUUAAAAGCAUUUACCACGGAUAUUUUUAAGAAAAACAAUGUAAUGUAUUACCACAGCCUACUUCCCCACCCCAAAUAGGUGAGUAAGACUUCUUUCUUUGUACUUCCAUGUACCCAGUGGUAGCCAGCCUCCAAGAGGGGCCUCCUGGUAAUGAUCUUCUAAGCAACAGCCAGUGAGGAACUAAAGCCUCUUGCCAAUAACCAUGAGUGAGCUUGGAAGUCUCAGUCAAGUUUUCAGAGACUGUAGCCAUGGUUGGCAUCUUGAUGACAACUUCAUGAGAGACCCUGAGACAAAUCAGCAUGGUGUCAUGUGCUUCCAUUUCUGUUAAUCAUUCUAUCAAACUUCUAGUCCCUUAGUUUCAAAAUGAUAGAGUCAACUUUGUUCCACUUCCUCAUGCCCAUGUCGGUCAUAAGGUACAGCUUUCUACUGUCUCUUCCUUUGUAUACUUGUGGCCCCUACUCUAGCUGAGCUCUUAAUACCUAUUAGUCUACUACAGUUAAUCCCCAGCUCCCCUCCCUUCCCCUCAUGACCCUUCAUUAUCCUUUUAUACCGAUUUAUUCUGCACCCAAACCCCAGAUUAGUCAUAUUUACUUUAGCUAGUUCAACAUCUAAGGCCAUGCAUGCUCUUGCCCCAGCUAAAUCUUCCAGAUUUGACAAUGAAAGAGCUAGCUUUGGGAGCCCUUACUCAUGCCUAUUCAUUGGCUCUUGCCUGCCCCUUCCACUGCUGCCAUGCCACCUCAAAUAUAAUAUAUUGAGUUAAAAUGGAGUGCUCACUAUGUAAGUGAGACAUCAAGAAGAAAUCCUUAGCAACUACUUCACCAGAUUUCCACCCAAGAUUUUCCUUUGUGUAGAAAUUCUAUAGCUACCCAUUUUUUCCCCAUUACUUCUUAUAUACUGUUUCAAGUAAUCUGGACUGUAGGGUACAAUGGAUUGAGUUCCUUUUUUCCUCAUACCUAGAAUCAUUUUCUCACAUUGAUUCCACAUGCAGUGCUGUGGUUAAGAGCGUGGGUGUGCUAUUCACACUACCUGGGAUCAAAGACCUGCUCUACCAUGUACUUAUUUUGUGGCCUUGGGCAAGUUAAUUAACACCUCUGCACCUCUGUUUCCUCAUUUGUAAAAAAAAAAAAAAGCAUAAUAAAAAAUCUAACUUAUACA
rnacentral:lncRNA from 1 species